UAUCGAAAAUUAAAAGUAAUGCGCAAGUUUAAUACAGGUAUACAAUCAAUAAUUAGACGAAAUUGGUGGCUUUGGUGUGAUAAUAAUGGAGGCACACCCGAUCUCCGGCAGCCCGAGGUCUAUUCCUGGCUUAAGACCGGUUCAUAUUUUCGCUGCUUUUUUACAUUUAAUUUCGAAACGUUUAAUGCCGACUAAAGACCGUUGCCAAAAUCACAAGUGGUCUAAGCGGCAAUAAUUGGAGGGAAAUAUUUAUAUCAACAAAUUACAAGCUUGGCAAAAUGGCUAAAAGUAAACUACGGGACCAAAUUUGGAGGUCGAUGCUGCUGCUGGCGAUUGCUGCUCACUUGGAUGACUGGGUCCUCUGCUGGCGACUUGAUCGUGUCGACCAGGUAAGGGCCGCCGGGUAAGUUUCUUCUGGACACGAGUCUUCUAAACUUCCGGGGCUCUUUAGAAAGAGUCCCCGGUGGCCUGUAAAUUUUUAAAAAUCACUGUUGUAUAUAAGCUUAAGGCCAAUAAACAACUACUCAUUUUAACUUAUCUAAGCACAAAAUA